UGAGUUUAUCUUCUGUAUCAUCUGUGUCUCCUGUUUUGCUAUGUUUGAUUAUCAGGGACUCAAGGAAAUCUUGUUGGAAGCUUUUGCCACUUCUCCUCCCGGAAAUCAUAGAGUUCAACAUGGCAUACAUUCUAUCCCGAGCCUGAAACAGAAAAAACUUGUAUUAGAGAAAAUUUCAAUUUCCUUCUUUGCUAAGAAGCAACAUUUUUGGUUAUAUAGUGAUUCUUAGGUAAGUUGUUGAGAAGUAUUACCUUGAUACCGCGAUUGAAAGCUGUUCCUGGGAGCUUCAAUGGCAAGGAAGCAAAUGAGGAAGAAAUGAGUUUAAAAUUGGCCCGAAACUUUUCCUGCUCCUCACCGGUGGGUUCCAAGCUCAUUAUCAUGUUGCCUAUCACUUUCAGAGUGAACUGCAUAAACAACAGAAGAUUUAGUUAUCUUGAAUUUAAAAAAACCCUACAGGACAGUAAUUAACUUGCUCUCUAGACUCAACUGUAGAAGCCUCUUCAAGAACCAGCACCCUUCUUCCAGGCCAUUGAUCCAGUGUUUCAAUUGCCAGUGUGUUAAUAAACUGAAAAUAUUUUUUCAGGCCAUCAACCGAAAGUGGUUCAGCAAUCAGCCGUCGCAGCCGUUUGUGUGCUUCUCCACUGGUCUGGAGCAAGCUGGUUGGGCCAAGAACUUGCUGCCCUGUGUAAAAAAGCUGUAAAUGCCAGAUGGGUUGGAAAAAUCAGAUAUAAAUGAGAAGCUUUCACCAACAGCAGGCCACCCCAAGCUUCCUGGAAUGUGCUCCAUUGUUUUCGGUGUUG